rnacentral:rRNA from 1 species
AGUGAACGCUGGCGGUAGGCCUAACACAUGCAAGUCGAACGGCAGCACAGUAAGAGCUUGCUCUUACGGGUGGCGAGUGGCGGACGGGUGAGGAAUACAUCGGAAUCUACUUUUUCGUGGGGGAUAACGUAGGGAAACUUACGCUAAUACCGCAUACGACCUACGGGUGAAAGCAGGGGAUCUUCGGACCUUGCGCGAUUGAAUGAGCCGAUGUCGGAUUAGCUAGUUGGCGGGGUAACGGCCCACCAAGGCAACGAUCCGUAGCUGGUCUGAGAGGAUGAUCAGCCACACUGGAACUGAGACACGGUCCAGACUCCUACGGGAGGCAGCAGUGGGGAAUAUUCGACAAUGGGCGAAAGCCUGACCCAGCCAUACCGCGUGGGUGAAGAAGGCCUUCGGGUUGUAAAGCCCUUUUGUUGGGAAAGAAAAGCAGCAGGUUAAUACCCCGCUGUUCUGACGGUACCCAAAGAAUAAGCACCGGCUAACUUCGUG